GGGAACCGAACCGCCGCGCCUCGCCCAGGACAGUUACACUUAGAGGCCUUGGCGGGGCGGUGAUUGUCCAAAAGUUCUGGUGGGCCUGUGCAUUGUUGGCUGUGUGAUGGAUGAGAAUUGUCAAGCUGGAGAAAAAUGUUGCAAGUCAGGCUGUGGCCGCUUCUGUGUCCCACCAGUCCUGCCCCCAAAACUGACCAUGAACCCCAACUGGACUGUGAGGUCUGAUUCCGAAUUAGAGAUCCCGGUGCCCUAGCUGUGCUGAUUUGUCUGGAGCUUCUUUGGUAAUUCUGGAAGCUUUUCCUGGCAGUCAAGAGAGGGUGACAUCCUGGGGCUUGUGACAUUUCCAGGGGCACUCAUGGCCCUCUCUGCUCUGCUUCUCCUCCUGCCGCUGACCAGAGCAUGGGAAAUAGCCCUGGAUUGGGUAGUGGGUGUGUGGUGCUUCUCUUUCCCGAUAAAGGCUGGUGCUGA
rnacentral:lncRNA from 1 species